GUGACUUUUCUGUGGGCGACUGUUGCAACAACCAAAUAUUGAUUUCAAGCCCCGGAAUAUAGGCACAUUUCCCGGAUAUCAAAGCUGAUUGAUGAAUGUUUUUUGAAUCACUUGUUGCGCAUGGAAUCUAACAAUAACACUUUGCCCAGGUGAGGUUGGAUCUGGCCUGCUACUUUGGACACAAAGAUGUUGUGGAGGAGCUACUCAAGGAAGUAGUUAUUUUUCUGUUACGAUACCUGUGCCACUAUCAUCUACGGGACAGCCCAGGUCCCUAAAUCUGUCUACGAGGAUAAUGAGACCAUCGCCAUGCACGAGG